AUUGAACGCUGGCGGCAGGCCUCACACAUGCAAGUCGAGCGGAGCGGCGGACGGGUGAGUAAUGCCUAGGAAUCUGCCUGGUAGUGGGGGAUAACGACCGGAAACGGGCGCUAAUAACGCAUAAUAUAAGAUGAGACUAGGUCGGCUUAGCUAGUUGGGGGGUAAAAGGCCUACCAAGGCGACGAUCCGUAACUGUUCUGAGAGGAUGAUCAGUAACACUGGAACUGAGACACGGUCCAGACGCCUACGGGAGGCAGCAGUGGGGAAUAUUGGAAAAUGGGCGAAAGCCUGAUCCAGCCAGGCCGCGUGUGUGAAGAAGGGCUUCGGAUUGUAAAGCACUUUAAGUUGGGAGGCGUUACCAACAGAAUAAGCACCGGCUAACUUCGUGCCAGCAGCCGCGGUAAUAC
rnacentral:rRNA from 1 species